GAAAAUUUAGUUUAAACUAAAACCUUAACUUGUCAAGUUAAAAAUAUUUUCUAAAUAAUUUUCU
rnacentral:tRNA from 1 species